AUGAACGCUAGCGACAGGCCUAACACAUGCAAGUCGAGGGGCAGCGAAGAGGUAGCAAUACCUUUGUCGGCGACCGGCGCACGGGUGAGUAACACGUAUGCAAUCCACCUGUAACAGGGGGAUAACCCGGAGAAAUCCGGACUAAUACCCCAUAAUAUGGGCUCUCCGCAUGGAGAGCCCAUUAAAGAGAGCAAUUUUGGUUACAGACGAGCAUGCGCUCCAUUAGCCAGUUGGCGGGGUAACGGCCCACCAAAGCGACGAUGGAUAGGGGUUCUGAGAGGAAGGUCCCCCACAUUGGAACUGAGACACGGUCCAAACUCCUACGGGAGGCAGCAGUGAGGAAUAUUGGUCAAUGGUCGGCAGACUGAACCAGCCAAGUCGCGUGAGGGAAGACGGCCCUACGGGUUGUAAACCUCUUUUGUCGGAGAGUAAAGUACGCUACGUGUAGCGUAUUGCAAGUAUCCGAAGAAAAAGCAUCGGCUAACUCCGUGCCAGCAGCCGCGGUAAUACGGAGGAUGCGAGCGUUAUCCGGAUUUAUUGGGUUUAAAGGGUGCGUAGGCGGCACGCCAAGUCAGCGGUGAAAUUUUCGGGCUCAACCCGGAAUCUGCCGUUGAAACUGGCGAGCUAGAGUGCACAAGAGGCAGGCGGAAUGCGUGGUGUAGCGGUGAAAUGCAUAGAUAUCACGCAGAACCCCGAUUGCGAAGGCAGCCUGCUAGGGUGCGACAGACGCUGAGGCACGAAAGCGUGGGUAUCGAACAGGAUUAGAUACCCUGGUAGUCCACGCAGUAAACGAUGAAUACUAACUGUUUGCGAUACAAUGUAAGCGGUACAGCGAAAGCGUUAAGUAUUCCACCUGGGGAGUACGCCGGCAACGGUGAAACUCAAAGGAAUUGACGGGGGCCCGCACAAGCGGUGGAGUAUGUGGUUUAAUUCGAAGCAACGCGAAGAACCUUACCAGGUCUUGACAUCGAUCUAAAGGCUCCAGAGAUGGAGAGAUAGCUAUAGAGAAGACAGGUGGUGCAUGGUUGUCGUCAGCUCGUGCCGUGAGGUGUCGGCUUAAGUGCCAUAACGAGCGCAACCCCUAUUGACAGUUACUAACGGGUGAAGCCGAGGACUCUGUCGAGACUGCCGGCGCAAGCCGCGAGGAAGGUGGGGAUGACGUCAAAUCAGCACGGCCCUUACGUCCGGGGCGACACACGUGUUACAAUGGCAGGUACAGAAGGCAGCCAGUCAGCAAUGACGCGCGAAUCCCGAAAACCUGUCUCAGUUCGGAUUGGAGUCUGCAACCCGACUCCAUGAAGCUGGAUUCGCUAGUAAUCGCGCAUCAGCCAUGGCGCGGUGAAUACGUUCCCGGGCCUUGUACACACCGCCCGUCAAGCCAUGGAAGCCGGGAGUACCUGAAGCAUGCAACCGCAAGGAGCGUACGAAGGUAAUACCGGUAACUGGGGCU
rnacentral:rRNA from 1 species